rnacentral:lncRNA from 1 species
GUCAGCAAGCUCCAAACCGCGGCUGCCGCCCGGAGGGAAGCAGACGGGGAGUCGGUGGCGGCCGCCGAGUCCGCAUGCGCAGGCUGCAAAGGCCCUUUUGGGCCGGUCCCGCCGCGCUAGGUUGGCGAGUGGGACUAUUUGAUCCUUUCCAGGUUCGCCAGCGUGGUGUUACGAGAGGAAAGCGCAGCCGCAGCGUACGAAUGGGAAGGCCAAACACGGUCCCGGGGAGUCUGAGGGAAGCUGCAGGGCGCCUGGAAUUGGGGUCUCGAGUGAGCCGGUAAAAACCGCCUCCCGCUGAGCGUCCCGGAACAAAUACUGUCUGAACUGAGCCGUAAGCAAGAAACGGUCAGGAGAAGCUGGGGCGAUCUGAUGAUUAGAACAUUUCAGGGACUACCAGAGAGAAGUGCGUAAUUGCUCUAAGGCAGGUAGGUAAUUGGCCUGGAAACUUGGGAACGCCCCGCCCCCCACCCCGACUUUCAGCAAACCACCGUGCCCAGGAAAAAGAGCGAUUGUGGAAGACCCUGUGAAGAAGAGACCAGGAAGGCACUGUGGCUUAAGAGAGCAAGGCGUUCCUGAAUGCAGCCAACAUCAACUGGUAAACAAAAAACUGUGAGAACGGAUCCUGAAUCUUGCGCUUACCAGGGGAAAUUCAGGAGAGAUAUGAACCUGAGCAAGAUGAGGUUGAAGUUACUCAAUGCGGCAUUAAGCCUGUUCACGGCCACUUCCUCCGGCGUCACCAACACACACACUGUACACCAGCAGUAUUUUUACACGGGCUUUCUGCCAUGUGAGGACGCUACCAGAAGGCCCUCAUCAGAAACUCAAACCUGCAAGAGCCUUGAUCUUGGACUUCCCAGCCCCCAGAAGUAUGAGAAAAUAAAUUUCCAUUUUUAUAAAUUA